AACCGCAUGGUUUUGAUUUGAAAGGCGCUUUCGGGUGUCGCUGAUGGAUGGACCCGCGGUGCAUUAGCUAGUUGGUGAGGUAACGGCUCACCAAGGCCACGAUGCAUAGCCGACCUGAGAGGGUGAUCGGCCACAUUGGGACUGAGACACGGCCCAAACUCCUACGGGAGGCAGCAGUAGGGAAUCUUCGGCAAUGGACGAAAGUCUGACCGAGCAACGCCGCGUGAGUGAAGAAGGUUUUCGGAUCGUAAAACUCUGUUGUUAGAGAAGAACAAGGAUGAGAGUAACUGUUCAUCCCUUGACGGUAUCUAACCAGAAAGCCACGGCUAACUACGUGCCAGCAGCCGCGGUAAUACGUAGGUGGCAAGCGUUGUCCGGAUUUAUUGGGCGUAAAGCGAGCGCAGGCGGUUUCUUAAGUCUGAUGUGAAAGCCCCCGGCUCAACCGGGGAGGGUCAUUGGAAACUGGGAGACUUGAGUGCAGAAGAGGAGAGUGGAAUUCCAUGUGUAGCGGUGAAAUGCGUAGAUAUAUGGAGGAACACCAGUGGCGAAGGCGGCUCUCUGGUCUGUAACUGACGCUGAGGCUCGAAAGCGUGGGGAGCAAACAGGAUUAGAUACCCUGGUAGUCCACGCCGUAAACGAUGAGUGCUAAGUGUUGGAGGGUUUCCGCCCUUCAGUGCUGCAGCUAACGCAUUAAGCACUCCGCCUGGGGAGUACGACCGCAAGGUUGAAACUCAAAGGAAUUGACGGGGGCCCGCACAAGCGGUGGAGCAUGUGGUUUAAUUCGAAGCAACGCGAAGAACCUUACCAGGUCUUGACAUCCUUUGACCACUCUAGAGAUAGAGCUUCCCCUUCGGGGGCAAAGUGACAGGUGGUGCAUGGUUGUCGUCAGCUCGUGUCGUGAGAUGUUGGGUUAAGUCCCGCAACGAGCGC
rnacentral:rRNA from 1 species